UCCUACGGGGGGCAGCAGUAGGGAAUAUUGCUCAAUGGGGGAAACCCUGAAGCAGCAACGCCGCGUGGAGGAUGAAGGUUUUAGGAUUGUAAACUCCUUUUGUAAGAGAAGAUUAUGACGGUAUCUUACGAAUAAGCACCGGCUAACUCCGUGCCAGCAGCCGCGGUAAUACGGAGGGUGCAAGCGUUACUCGGAAUCACUGGGCGUAAAGAGCGCGUAGGCGGGGGGUCAAGUCAGCGGUAAAAAUGCGGAGCUCAACUCCGUCGAGCCGUUGAAACUGCCGUUCUUGAGUGAGCGAGAAGUAG
rnacentral:rRNA from 1 species